rnacentral:rRNA from 1 species
CAUCAGUCAUGGCUCAGGUGGAGCGCUGGCGGAUCACCACUGAAAUCGAAGCGCUGCUGGACUGAUCCUGGCUAGCAGUGGCGAACAGGUGAGUAAUGUCGGAACGUGCCUAGUAGCGGGGGAUAACUUCGCGAAAGCGUAGCUUCAGCCACCGCAUACGCCCUUCGGGGGAAAGCAGGGGCCUUCGAGACUCGCACUAUUCAAGCAACCGAUAUCGGAUUAGCUAGUUGGUGGGGGUAACGGCUCACCAAGGCGACGAUCCGUAGCUGGUUUGAAAGGACGACCAGCCACGCAGGACUGAGACACGGCCCAGACUCCUGCAGGAAGCAGCGGUGGGAAUUUUGGACAAUGAGGAAGCCUGAUCCAGCCAUCCGCGUGUGCGAUAGAGGGCCUUCGGGUUGUAAAGCACUGGCAGGAAAGAAACGGCACGGGAUAUCCCCGUGCAACUGACGGCUCACCUGCAGAAUAAGCACCGGCUAACACGUGCCAAGCAGCCGCGGUAAUACGUAGGGUGCAAGCGUUAAUCAAGAUUACUGGGCGUAAAGCGUGCGCAGGCGGUUCGGAAGAAAGAUGUGAAAUCCCAGAGCUUAACUUUGAGACUGCAUUUUUAACUACCGAGCUUCAGAGUGUGUCAAGAGGGAACGGAAUUCCGCUGAUGUAGCAGUGAAAUGCGUAGAUAUGCGGAGGAACACCGAUGGCGAAGGCGGCCUCCUGGGAUAACACUGACGCUCAUGCACGAAAGCGUGGGGGAGUAAGAAGCAAGGACGGGCUCACCACAGUGCAGUCCCACGCCCUAAACGAUGUCAACUGAAAGCUGUUGGGGCCUUCGGGCCUUGGUAGCGCAGCUAACGCGUGAAAUUUGACCGCCUGGGGAGUACAGGUCCUUGAAUUAAAACUCAAAGGAAUUGACGGGGACCCGCACAAGCGGUGGAUGAUGUGGAUUAAUUCGAUGCAACGCGAAAAACGCACCUACCCUUGACAUGUCUGGAAUCCCGAAGAGAUUUGGAGUGCUCGCAAGAGAACCGGAACACAGGUGCUGCAUGGCUGUCGUCAGCUCGUGUCGUGAGAUGUUGGGUUAAGUCCCGCAACGAGCGCAACCCUUGUCAUUAGUUGCUACGAAAGGGCACUCUAAUGCAGGCUGCCGGUGAUGACAAACCGGAGGAAGGUGGGGAUGACGUCAAGUCCUCAUGGCCCAUAUGGGUAGGAGGAAGCCACGUCGCCCGCAAUGGUCAGGACAGAGGGUCGCCAACCCGCGAGGGGAGCCAAUCCCAGAAACCCGAUCGUAGUCCGGAUCGCAGUCUGCAACUCGACUGCGUGAAGUCGGAAUCGCUGGUAAUCGCGGAUCAGCAUGUCGCGGUGAAUACGUUCCCGGGUCUUGUACACACCACCCGUCACACCAUGGGAGUGGUUUACCAGAAGUAGUUAGCCUAACCGUAAGGAGGGCGAUUACCUGGUAGGAUUCAUGACUGGGGUGAAGUCGUAACAAGGUAG